rnacentral:tRNA from 1 species
CACACUAUAGUUUAUUAAAAACAUUGACCUGCAAAAUCGAGGAAGGAAAAUAAAAUCCUGGUGUGU